GACGAACGCUGGCGGCGUGCUUAACACAUGCAAGUCGAACGGAAAGGCCCUGCUUUUGUGGGGUGCUCGAGUGGCGAACGGGUGAGUAACACGUGAGUAACCUGCCCUUGACUUUGGGAUAACUUCUGGAAACUGGGGCUAAUACCGGCUAGGAGCUCCUGCUGCUUGGUGGGGGUUGGAAAGUUUCGGCGGUUGGGGAUGGACUCGCGGCUUAUCAGCUUGUUGGUGGGGUAGUGGCUUACCAAGGCUUUGACGGGUAGCCGGCCUGAGAGGGUGACCGGCCACAUUGGGACUGAGAUACGGCCCAGACUCCUACGGGAGGCAGCAGUGGGGAAUAUUGCACAAUGGGCGGAAGCCUGAUGCAGCAACGCCGCGUGCGGGAUGACGGCCUUCGGGUUGUAAACCGCUUUCGCCUGUGACGAAGCGUGAGUGACGGUAAUGGGUAAAGAAGCACCGGCUAACUACGUG
rnacentral:rRNA from 1 species